ensembl:snRNA U6 U6 spliceosomal RNA
GUGCUUGCUAUGGUAGCACAUAUACUAAAAUUGGAACGAUACAGAGAAGGUUAACAACACCCUGCUCAAGGAUGACAUGCAAAUCCGUGAAGCGUUCCAUAUUUUU